rnacentral:rRNA from 1 species
GACGAACGCUGGCGGCGUGCCUAAUACAUGCAAGUCGAGCGCAGGAAAUCGACGGAACCCUUCGGGGGGAAGUCGACGGAAUGAGCGGCGGACGGGUGAGAAACACGUAAAGAACCUGCCCUCAGGUCUGGGAUAACCACGAGAAAUCGGGGCUAAUACCGGAUGGGUCAUCGGACCGCAUGGUCCGAGGAUGAAAGGCGCUUCGGCGUCGCCUGGGGAUGGCUUUGCGGUGCAUUAGCUAGUUGGUGGGGUAAUGGCCCACCAAGGCGACGAUGCAUAGCCGACCUGAGGGGGUGAUCGGCCACACUGGGACUGAGACACGGCCCAGACUCCUACGGGAGGCAGCAGUAGGGAAUCUUCCACAAUGGACGAAAGUCUGAUGGAGCAACGCCGCGUGAACGAUGAAGGCCUUCGGGUCGUAAAGUUCUGUUGUAAGGGAAGAACAAGUGCCGCAGGCAAUGGCGGCACCUUGACGGUACCUUGCGAGAAAGCCACGGCUAACUACGUGCCAGCCGCCGCAGUAAUAC